CAUGGGAAACUAUUGCUUAAACCCAUGCCUUACACUUGAGAGUACUGUGGCUAUCAAAGUAGAAAAAUGCCUGAUUGUUUCCAAGGAUGCUGGAGAAUUUCACAAUUCCCUUUAUUCUUCCUGCCGUAGCACUACCAGUUAUCACCUGCUGGACUCUUCAAGUGGCAGACCAAUCACUAGAAUACCAUCCACUCAGAGCGAGUCUGCAUGCAGCAAGAUGGUCUCUGACAGAAUUAUGGGCAGUCUGGGUACAACUGCAUGUCUCCAUCCUGAGUGCUGGACUCCUACCACCUCACCUGGCAGAUGGAUUAUGUAAGGCUUGGCAGUUUCUUUCUGGACGUCUUGCACUUUGAUCAGCAGAAUGCCAUCUGCCAUCAUCAGAGAGCAGUAGUUGUGAUGUGUCCCAGGAAUUGGUUGAUGUCCUGUGAGCCAGAUCUGUGUAAGUCUCCGCAGUCUCUGCUAAUGAGUGGAGGAUGGUUACCGGGGCCUGCUGUCAUGGAGAGUCGUUUUUAAGCCUACAGAGGUCUAAUAGCCUUCCAUGCACCCAGAGUUGAAAUAAACUAUGCAGACAGGCAGGAGAACUUUUGAAGUUUCUGCCUCUAUCAUCCUUUGUCACCACCUAGAAAUCUGAUAUUUCUUCAAAGAAAUGUCAAAUAUUUCCCUGUCAUGUACUUCUUUGCAAUUCUUUCUUUUUUACUUUAUUUUAUUUUUUUUUACUGCGAUAGAAUUCACAAACAGUGAAUGAAUAGAUCUUAACCUUAGACUUUGAUGAAUGUUGACAAAAGUAUCUACGGAUGUCACCAACACCACCCCCGACCCUGAGACAGAGCAUUUCUCUCAUACCAGUGAGUGCCCCAUUCCAACCGAUCCCCAUGCCUCACAAGCUAUCACAGUUCUGAUUUCUGUUGUGUUACCAGAGAUUUGUGCUGCUGGUUCUAGAACUUUGCACAAAUGCAGUCAUACUUUGUAAUAAUGCAUGGUGUACUCCUUUGUGCCUGGCUUCAUUUACUCACCAGGUCAUUGUGUGUGUUGGCAGUUUGUUCUCUUUAUUGCUGACGGUUAUUCCACAAUAUUUUUUAUUGGGGAAUACUACUUAAAAAGGAAAACUUCUCUACCCACAGAGUACUUCUGAUAUCAGAUGUGUGUGUUUUUCCCUCAAGUUGAGUGAUUCUGACACUGACUUCCUACCCAGAGUUGGCAUAGACUCGACAGGGCUUAGUCCCAAAAGACUGCCCCUCACUGCAGACACCAAUUCUAAGUCUCUGGCUGUCACCUGUACUUCUGACCAAUAAACUAUAAACCAGGGGUUCCCCUGACCCCCUCUUUGCAUUUGAUAAUUUUCUGGAAUGGCUCACAGUACUCAGGGAGCCAUUUACAUUUAUCGAUUUAUUAUAACAGAUGUGAUACAGGCUAUGGAUGAACAGUCAGUUGAAGAGGAAUAUAGAGCAAGUUCUGGAAGGGUCUUGAGCUUCUGUGCCCAUGGAGUUGGGGGUGCACCACCUUCUUGGCAUGUGGAUAAUUUAUCAACCCAGAAGGCUGGGGAUUUUAUGGAGCUUAAUCAUACAUAUGCUCAUUCAAUGAUUAACUCAAUCUGUAUGUAAGUCUUCUCCCCACCCCAGAGGAUGGGGAGUGGGAUUGAAAGUUCCAGUCAUGGCUUUUAAUUAUGGAUGGUCUUUCUGGUGGCCAUCAACCUCCAUCCUGAAGGAGCCCGCCAAGAGUAGCCUCAUUUCCUGGUGAUCCGAUUACCCAGGAACUCCAAAUGGGUUUAUGGGCAUUGUGGUGGGAACCAGGGUCAAAGACCAGAUAUUAGAACAAAAGAGCUCCUAGCACCCCUAUUACUCAAGACAUUACAAGGGUUGCUCUGUGUUAGGAACCUGGGACAGAGACCAAAUACAUAUUUCUUAUUAUGUCACAUUACAACUAUUUGAUAUACAUUCCCCUGUUGAUGGACUUUUGGGCUGUUCCCAGUUUGGGGUUUUUAUGAAUGAAGCUUCUGUAAACAUUUCUACAAGUCUUUUAUGAACACAUAUUUUCAUUUAUCUUGGAUAAAGGCCUAGGAGCUAAACAGCUGUGCCAUAGGGUAAGUAUAUGGUCACUGUUAUUGUUACAUUUAUUUCUGAUUGUAACAGUGUUAUUACUGUUGUAAGAUU